rnacentral:rRNA from 1 species
UACGGGGGGGGGGCAAGCGUUGUUCGGAAUUACUGGGCGUAAAGGGCUCGUAGGCGGCCAACUAAGUCAUACGUGAAAUCCCUCGGCUUAACCGGGGAACUGCGUCUGAUACUGGAUGGCUUGAGUUCGGGGAGAGGGAUGCGGAAUUCCAGGUGUAGCGGUGAAAAUGCGUAGAUAUCUGGAGGAACACCGGUGGCGAAGGCGGCAUCCUGGACCGAUACUGACGCUGAUGAGCGAAAAGCCAGGGGGAGCAAAACGGG